UCCUAGCCCCGAUUGCAGUGAAAAUCCUUUUUGCGGCUGAAAGUCCCUCUCCUCGGGAGAGGGAUUUAGGGUGAGGAAAAAAGAUUGCAACGGAAAGCGGGAAUAAGC
rnacentral:sRNA from 1 species